rnacentral:lncRNA from 1 species
AUCACUGGCUGCAAGGUCCUCGUCUAGCAGCAGCAUGGUGGUGGCCCUCCGCUUCCGCGCACGCCUGCGCUCCUGGAAGCCCGCAUCAUGAGAGUCUUGAGUGGAAUUCGGGGGAGGCUGGCUGGCUGGAAGGAAUGGAGCAGAGGGGAGGGCUGGGUUCGAGACUGACGACACACUGGCUGCUGCGCCCAGGGCACAGCCAAGCAGCAGCGUGCGC